AUUGAACGCUGGCGGCAGGCCUAACACAUGCAAGUCGAGCGGAUGAACGGAGCUUGCUCCUGGAUUCAGCGGCGGACGGGUGAGUAAUGCCUAGGAAUCUGCCUGGUAGUGGGGGAUAACGUCCGGAAACGGGCGCUAAUACCGCAUACGUCCUGAGGGAGAAAGUGGGGGAUCUUCGGACCUCACGCUAUCAGAUGAGCCUAGGUCGGAUUAGCUAGUUGGUGGGGUAAAGGCCUACCAAGGCGACGAUCCGUAACUGGUCUGAGAGGAUGAUCAGUCACACUGGAACUGAGACACGGUACAGACUCCUACGGGAGGCAGCAGUGGGGAAUAUUGGACAGUGGGCGAAAGCCUGAUCCAGCCAUGCCGCGUGUGUGAAGAAGGUCUUCGGAUUGUAAAGCACUUUAAGUUGGGAGGAAGGGCAGUAAGUUAAUACCUUGCUGUUUUGACGUUACCAACAGAAUAAGCACCGGCUAACUACGUG
rnacentral:rRNA from 1 species